UACGGAGGGUGCAAGCGUUAUCCGGAUUCACUGGGCUUAAAGGGUGCGUAGGUGGGCAGGUAAGUCGGUGGUGAAAUCCUUGAGCUUAACUCGAGAACUGCCAUUGAUACUAUCUGUCUUGAAUGUUGUGGAGGUGAGCGGAAUAUGUCAUGUAGCGGUGAAAUGCUUAGAUAUGACAUAGAACAUCUAUUGCGAAGGCAGCUCACUACGCAAAUAUUGACACUGAGGCACGAAAGCGUGGGGAUCAAACAGG
rnacentral:rRNA from 1 species